rnacentral:misc_RNA from 1 species
UCUCCGUUGGUGAACCAGCGGAGGGAUCAUUACAGAGUUGCAAAACUCCCAAACCAUUGUGAACGUUACCUAUCCCGUUGCUUCGGCGGGCGGCCCGGGCCCCGCGCCCGGCGCCCCCCGGCCCCCCGUGGGCGCCCGCCGGAGGUAAACCAAACCCUUGAAUUGCAUGGCCUCUCUGUGUCUUCUGUACUGAAUAAGUCAAAACUUUCAACAACGGAUCUCUUGGUUCUG